UCGACCAGGGAAAUAAACAAGAGCUUGUGCAUCGACCUGUGUGUGUGUUGCAUCAUCUCUGCAGGCAGGGAGGGCGCGACAUUUGGUACCAAAACCCGGGAACUCAGCAAACCUCUCCUAAGAAUUAUCUCAGAUGCUCAACGGCACCUGGUCAGCCAAAUUCCACAAUCUGACAGCCUCCCUCCGGAUGGAGAUUCUGCAGAUCAAUGCCACGAGAGUCAACCCUCUCACGGCCUCCCAAUUCCUACAACUAUGCAGGCAGUGGUGGCUUUUGGGAAAUCCUGGUUUGGGACUAUUGUACUCGGCUGUAUUGUGCUCUUCGUCCUCCUCCUGGCGCUGCAUUGGAUAAGGGCCCUCCAACACACAUUAGCCAGAGACUGGCAGGCUGUACAUCAAGCCUUGGUAGCCAUAGAGCAUGGUAGCUCACCCCAAGUAUGGCUUAGCAUGCUGGACCGGUAGUCAAUGAUGGGUAAUGAGGACGAUAACAGCAUACCAACCUAAGACAGAAGCUGCAGCAUGCUCUGCAGUAUUUGAUGACGGGUAAGGGCACAAGUUGACCGUCCCAACCUAAGACAGGCACGGUCCCUUAUCCAUACAAAUAAAUAAAGAAGGGGGAGCUGUCGGGGUCGUGACCCUAAGAUGGCGCAGUCACGUCCCUAAGAUGGCGCUGGCUACAUAGCCCGAGCAGCAGGGACAGCCAAAAAACAUCCACCCUGGCCACAUGUGACCUUGUGCUCCUCACAUGAACACCUCUGUGAUUGGCUGUUAUGCCACCACUGCCUACGCCCCAGAUACCUCCUGUUCACGUGAACACCUCUAUGACUGGCUGUAUACCUCCUGUUCACGUGAACACCUCUGUGAUUGGCUGUUAUGCCCUAUAUAAGGCAAGGGUACUUCCCCGCGGGGGAGGAGAAAGAUGACCAGAGAAUAAACAAGAGCUUGUGCAUGGA